GACGAACGCUGGCGGCGUGCUUAACACAUGCAAGUCGAACGGGCCCGCUCCCUUUUUUGGGGGUGGGUUGAGUGGCGAACGGGUGAGUAUCACGUGAGUAACCUGCCCCCUGCUCCUGGAUAACUGCUUGAAAGGGCGGCUAAUACGGGGUGUGCCGGCUGGUCCGCAUGGGCCUGGUCGGGAUAGUUUCAUCUUCGGGUGUUUCGGUGGGGGAUGGGCUCGCGGCCUAUCAGCUUGUUGGUGGGGUGAUGGCCCACCAAGGCGGUGACGGGUAGCCGGCCUGAGAGGGUGGGCGGCCACACUGGGACUGAGACACGGCCCAGACUCCUGCGGGAGGCAGCAGUGGGGGGUAUUGCACAAUGGGCGGAAGCCUGAUGCAGCGACGUCGCGUGAGGGAUGGAGGCCUUCGGGUUGUGAACCUCUUUCUCCGGUGGUGAAGGCCCUGUCCGUUGCGGCGGGGUUGACGGUAGCCGGGUAUGAAGCGCCGGCUAACUACGUG
rnacentral:rRNA from 1 species